AGGACUUCGGAGAGGAGAGGCGCUGGGUCGAGGAGCUGGACGCGACGUUUUGCUGGUUGGAGUGCUUCUGAACCCCGCCCAUGCCUCCUAGAGGAAGGGAUCUAAUUUCAAUUCAUCGGCCUCAGAUUGGUAGGACUACCCGCUGAACUUAAGCAUAUCAAUAAGCGGAGGAAAAGAAACUAACAAGGAUUCCCCUAGUAACGGCGAGUGAAGAGGGAAGAGCCCAAGAUUGAAAGCUGGCGUCUUCGGCGUCCGCAUUGUAAUCUCAAGAAGUGUUUUCCGCUUCGGACCAAGCCUAAGUCCCCUGGAAAGGGGCAUCAUAGAGGGUGAUAAUCCCGUACAUGGCUUGGAGCGCCCGAGGCUUUGUGAUACGCUUUCUAAGAGUCGAGUUGUUUGGGAAUGCAGCUCAAAAUGGGUGGUAAAUGCCAUCUAAGGCUAAAUAUUGGGGAGAGACCGAUAGCGAACAAGUACAGUGAUGGAAAGAUGAAAAGAACUUUGAAAAGAGAGUUAAACAGUACGUGAAAUUGCCAAAAGGGAAGGGUAGGAGGUCAGAGAUGCGGCCUGGGAUUCAGCCUUGCUUUUGCUUGGUGUUUUUCCCAGAUUGCAGGCCAACGUCGGUUUUGGGCACUGGAGAAGGGUAGGAGGAACGUGGCACCUCUCGGGGUGUGUUAUAGCCUCCUACUGGAUACAGCGACCGAGACCGAGGACAGCAGCGUACUCGCAAG
rnacentral:rRNA from 1 species